rnacentral:lncRNA from 1 species
CUAAGAUCUUUCUCCUCUGUUAAGUUUUAGACUAGAUAUUCUUGUUUUGUCAGGCUCUCAGUACAUUUUCUCUUCCAUGUCAACUCUAAUUCUCUUCAUCUCUUCUUUUGGUAGUGAAAAUCAAGUAGAAUAUUAAAAGACCAUAUGCUCUGCAAAUCACUUAGAAGCAAACUUGCUCUGUGAUAGUAUGGCCUUGAUAUUUGUCAUUAAUAUUAUUCGUUGUUUUAUUUUUGGGGUAGCUUUCUGGAGGUCAAGGGUUUACAAGUAGAACAAAGAAAUAUGAGUAGUUAGUGACCGAAGAACUAAAGCUUUUUUCCAGGAU